rnacentral:rRNA from 1 species
UUGGCGCAUGGCGAAGUCUGAGCAGCGACGCCGCGUGGGGGAUGAAGGUCUUCGGAUUGUAAACCCCUUUCGGCAGGGAAGAUGGAACGGGUAACCGUUCGGACGGUACCUGCAGAAGCAGCCACGGCUAACUUCGUGCCAGCAGCCGCGGUAAUACGAAGGUGGCAAGCGUUGUUCGGAUUCACUGGGCGUACAGGGAGCGUAGGCGGUUGGGUAAGCCCUCCGUGAAAUCUCCGGGCCUAACCCGGAAAGUGCAGAGGGGACUGCUCGGCUAGAGGAUGGGAGAGGAGCGCGGAAUUCCCGGUGUAGCGGUGAAAUGCGUAGAGAUCGGGAGGAAGGCCGGUGGCGAAGGCGGCGCUCUGGAACAUUUCUGACGCUGAGGCUCGA